ACUAGAAGCCCCCGCCUGGGCGCCUGCGCCCCCGUUCCCGGCCCAAAGCCCGCCGCCCGUUGGAGGCCAUUGGCUGGCCUUUGCGCACAGCGUAUCGAUUUUCCAGGUGACCUUUUGCUCUGAGCCAGAUCAGAGAAGAAUUCGGUGUCCGUGCGGGACGAUGCCUGAGCAGGAGAGACAGAUCACAGCCAGAGAAGGGGCCAGUCGGAAAAACCCCAACAAGCACAUCUCCCAGACAGAGGUGAUCAUCCGGUUUGCUUUCCAGACGUCCAUCACGGUGCUGUGCAUUGCCUGCCCCUGCUCCCUGGGGCUGGCCACGCCCACGGCUGUCAUGGUGGGCACCGGGGUGGCCGCACAGAAUGGCAUCCUCAUCAAGGGAGGCAAGCCCCUGGAGAUGGCGCACAAGAUAAAGACUGUGAUGUUUGACAAGACUGGCACCAUUACCCAUGGCGUCCCCAGGGUCAUGCGGGUGCUCCUGCUGGGGGAUGUGGCCACACUGCCCCUCA
rnacentral:sRNA from 1 species